GAUGAACGCUGGCGGCGUGCCUAAUACAUGCAAGUCGAGCGAACAGACGAGGAGCUUGCUCCUUUGACGUUAGCGGCGGACGGGUGAGUAACACGUAGGUAACCUACCUAUAAGACUGGGAUAACUUCGGGAAACCGGAGCUAAUACCGGAUAAUAUUUCGAACCGCAUGGUUCGAUAGUGAAAGAUGGCUUUGCUAUCACUUAUAGAUGGACCUGCGCCGUAUUAGCUAGUUGGUAAGGUAACGGCUUACCAAGGCAACGAUACGUAGCCGACCUGAGAGGGUGAUCGGCAACCCUGGAACUGAGACACGGUCCAGACUCCUACGGGAGGCAGCAGUAGGGAAUCUUCCGCAAUGGGCGAAAGCCUGACGGAGCAACGCCGCGUGAGUGAUGAAGGUCUUCGGAUCGUAAAACUCUGUUAUUAGGGAAGAACAAACGUGUAAGUAACUAUGCACGUCUUGACGGUACCUAAUCAGAAAGCCACGGCUAACUACGU
rnacentral:rRNA from 1 species